AAGAAAACAGACAUUUAUGCUAGAGGUUUGCCUUUAAUCUUUCAUAAAAAAUGGAAGCAGGGCCUCCAGCUGAAGUGUACGAAUCAACUCUGCUUAAAUUUUAAAGUCUAUGGCCUACGUAGUGGGGCAAGCAGAAGAGGGAAGGAAGCAGCAGCAAUGCCACUGUGUGCAUGAAGGUACCUCGUGUGAAAGGUGGUGCAUCUUUUCCAGGCUUUCCACGUACUUAGAGGAAGGAAAUGAUUGUUUUCCAGGCUCACUAAUAGCCUGCACCUGGUUCCUGGUCUAGAUUGUUUUCUGGAGAAGUAGAUUUCUCUCCUCUGAAUGUGUCUUCCCUCCCCGAAAUAAGGCAAUUUGUGAUUACAGUAACCAAAGGAAAGGAAUGAGGUCAGAAUACACCUACAGAUGAUACAGAUCCCAAUUGGAUAUGCAAAGUAAACAUUUGAAACAGCUGGGUGAGCGUAACAUACAACGAUUUCCUCCCCUGCAUUCAGAGGAAAAUGAGAUGUUGCCUGCAAAGAACGAACUCUGUCCAGGAACUGUAAUGGACACUUGCUCUCAUCCUUCAGAUAAGGUGGAAGCAGCCAGACAAUCCUCAUGAACCAAAGCAGUGAAAACUAUAUGUUGCUUAUUGAGUUUUCAUGAAAGAAUGAAAAAAACACAUAAUACUUGAUGAACAAAGGAUAUGCAACAUUACAGAGAAAAUAUAUGCUGCUCUGCCUUACGAACACCCAAAACAUUCCAGACCUUGGGUUUUUUCCAGUAUGUUAAAGGCAGAGAGAAGAACCUUGUGCUAAUGGAGCAGACCUAUCACCUCCUAAGACAUGAGAAGUAAAUGAAAAUGUAGCUAAUCACAUCGUUAUCCCUUGUGUAAGCAGGUCAAUGCAAAAAGAGAACAAGGAUGCUAGAAUAUGCUACAGUGGAAUGUAUGACAAGUCAUGAAUACUGCCCACGCAUGAUGUUUCAGAAUUUGACUGCGUCCAGGGAAUGCAUUCACAAGUAUGAUUCAUUUUCAGCUGUGUGGCAUCUCCAGUAUGGAAGCAGUGAGAAGGAAAUGGGUCUCCCCCCCCCCCCGAUCAUUCCAGCAUGAUGUGCACACGUGCAUGUAUGAAGCAUUCAGUUCUUCUGAUGGUAAAGGAUUCACCUAGCUCGAAGACUGUCUGGACUUUAUUGCUAAUUGUAAGUCACUGUGCAGGCUCACCAGCCGUACAAGGAAAAAUAAAGUCCCUAACCAUACAUCUUCUCUUUGCAUCCCCUUCCUUGGGGCUUGCUUUAUUUCCAAAACCACAAACUCUAAACCAGAACAAAUCAACUCAAACUGCUCGGUAAUAAUCACCCGAGGCCCUUCCAGCCUCAGCCAGCUGGGAGAAGAUAGCACGCAACCUCAUCUUAUGAGAUUUUCUUUUGUACCAACCUUCUCAGUCCUUUCACACCACCACCAAAAACACUGCUACCUGUCCAGUAACCCCUUAUAUGCCACAUUUGCUUUAGCCCACAAUACACUGUUCUUUUGCAACAGCUGCGUAUGCCGAGUACCGUGUUUUCACACAUGUAACUCAGAUUCCAGAAAAAAAAAUAAUGAGAUCCCUUAAAAAUGAAUCAAUAUUUCAAAAUAGGGCCUUUCAUAACGUGAAACCUGAAAUUGCAAGGACUCAUGUUGAAGGGAAUGCAGGGAAUUUCUGGGAAAUAGUGAGACCUGGAGUAAGUUGGAGUAACUUUUGCCUUGAUUAAUUAGCACAUUACAACUUGCAGUGAUUUUUAAUUGCAGGAGUUUUAGGUUUUAAAGAUAACCAGUAUACCAUUAUAAUACUAUAUGUGUUCAUCUUACCACACUGGAGGAGGAAAACAAACUUAAGAUUGCACACUCUUGAUACUAUCAAACAGGAGAAAAUAAUACAUAUGUUUAUUUAUAGAUGUGAAGCUUUUGGGAUAUGCAGAAUAUUGAAGUAUGAGCACUUACAUUUGUGUGGACAUGUGAACCAUUGAUGGUGUAUCUUUUGCAAACUGACAAGGAAAAACUUUUUUCCUGAAGCUUUGCUUUCUUUGUAGGAAGGGCUAACCUGCUGCAGUAUUUUUAAAACACGUGAUGGAUCAUUUGAGUUGUUCUAGAGAAGAGCUACGCUGUCUGUCAGUUAGAUGGUAAUACAGAGCCUGCACAAAUGAAAUUCACUUGGAGUUUUAUUUGCCUCUGUAGCAACUGAACAAAUAUCUCAGAGACUGAACUUGUGCUACAUAACUGGUAGUCUGAUUUCUUCCAACAAACCAGUUUCAUUGAGCCAGAAGGUCAGUGCGGAACAAGUUUAUGACGGUGCACUAUGAGCAUGUUGUAAAUAAAAGCUGAUAGAUUUCAAGAUAGGUAAACUGCAGUGGAGGAUUGCGUGAUGCUCUAUUGCCGGUACAGCAUGUAAAACCUGACACUGUUCUACUUAGCAGCAGCAGUUUGUUACCGGAAGAGGUAAAACCCACAGACUAAAAAACAAACCAAAACCACCCACAACCUCUGAAAAUUAAAAUCUAAGAAAAGAUUGUCAAAUCAAAUAUUUAAAGCUAAAAAAACAAACAAAAAAAACCCAAAUAAAAAAACCCCAACAAAUAAAAUUAAGCUGGACUUGAAAAUUUAUUAAGUCUUGCUAACUAGACAAAAAGAGAACUACCAUAUGGCCCUUACUGCCAUAAACCAUUAAUUUGGGGCCCAGCUCUUUUGAAAACUCUCACUGGCUAAAUCAGGUCUUUCAUUUCAGCCUGAAAUCUAGAAGGUGGUUAGUACCCUUGCUUUCUGCCUCCCUCUCCUUUUCUUUCUUUUAAUCUAUAUGGCUGAUUUUUAAGUCCUGUUGAGGAAUGCUUUCUGCAGUAUUUAACAGCAGAGGAAAUGGAGACGAAGCAGCUCACCUGUGCCUCCCAAAGUGAAGCUGGAAGGAGAGAGCUCUGCAGCUGAUACCGUGUAAUGCAGCCUUUGAGCUUCUGCACUGUCAGUAAGAUGGGACCUGACGACCGGGGAGGGGGGGGGCGGGGGGAAACCCAUGGUUUUCUGGCUCUGCCCCUUUCUCCACCUCUCUGCUCCAGGGAAAGAAAAGGACUGUCUGCCAUGGGAUGUGUUUGGAGGAGGAGCAAGAAGAUCAAUUGGAGAAGUCACAUUGGUCCAGUGGGAGCAGCUGUUCCAUUUGUGCUUGCCCAAAUUGUUUGACGACUUUGGAAGAAGAUGCUGAAAUCUUCAUAAAUUUUCUGUCUUGCAAAAAACCAGCAACCUACACAUGUUUUUCUUAGAAAUAAGCAUUGGCAGGUAAUCUUAAUGCUUGACUCUGGGAGUGUUUCAGAUCUUCUACUAUUCGGGAAAGCAAGACUUCAUCAAGGAGAGCACCACUGAGCAGUAGAUCAGAGACACCAGAGGUAGGCUGCGAGAAUGAUGAGGCUUUGAUAGUAGGUUGAGAACAGGACUGCUUCUGAUACUCACAUGAACUCUUUUAGCAUUGACAUGAAGAUCUUUGUAUCAUGGUGUGCAAUGAUCAGUGUCUCCCUUGAUCUUUCUACUCUGCCUGAGGUAUGUGGGUUUUAGAAGGUGUCCCCAGUAUCAUGGUGUGAUUGCACUUGGGCAUGGUUUGGGCAGGGUUUGGAGGAUUUGCCAUGUCCCACGUUUUCUCAACAUCUUUCAGCUGAGUUUAUGUAUCUCAGGUCUGCUUACAGUCUGGACAGUAAUACUCAGUACUGCAGAGAAAGAUGAAAACACCUGUGCUUGGUAGAAGCUUAUGUACGAUAAUUGAGUGAAAAAAAGGGUGAUCAUGCCAUACUCAUACAUGCAAGCAUUCAACCUUGAAUGAAACUGCCUACUGCAAGAGCUGAUUCACAUUUUAGGCUGUAUUUCUUGGCUGUGCUUGAAUUCUUCCUCCCAAAGAACAUCUUCUCCAAGCAGCCCUAAACAAAGCAAAAGGUGUUGCUGCAAGAUCAGCUGGUGUGGAGAAGACCACCUCUACCUUAUUAUCAGGAGCAAAAGUUACUCCCAGCCCCUUGCAGCUCCCCUUUUACAUCGUCUUCUCUCUUCUGCAAGAAAUCAAGGACUGCUGUCUUAUUGCUCCACAGUGCUGAGCAGUUACAUCGGAAGAGUUUUAUAGAUGAGAACAUAGCUCUUUUUAAGGUAAAAUGCUUCUGCUUCCACAAAAGUAGCAUCAAAUUUAUAUAAUUUUAAGUGCUCACAGCAGUAAUUCACUCAGCAAAUAUUUGAGUGUUUUCAUUGUAUAUCUUCUCAUUCAUAGAGCUUAACUUUUCAACAGUUCUUGACAGUCAUUUCCUCUCCUGGCGUCAAGUCUUUUCUUCCUCCUUCCUUUUUAAAAUGGUUUGAGUAUUGUAUGUUUGCUGGUUUUGAACAGGUGAACUGGAAAAUCAGUGAAGUUGUCUUGGGCUUAUAUAAGAGUUCCUACUAUUUUUGUGGAAUGAAGGAAAACUGAGGAGACUGAGUGGCUUUACAUAGCAGUAAAAUAAAGUUCACCACAAAUAUUUUAGAACUGUAUCUGUCAAAAGUGUUUUGUAUACAUUUUUUUAAAGGAUGUAAAGAUCAACUGCAUUUCUGUGGCCAAAAAAGAAUGCAGUUAAAUAUACAGAUUUUGGGUGGUACAUGCUAAUUCUGUGAAGACCCUGAAGGUGAGUUACAAUCCCUCUUAAUAAGAUAUAUUUUGCAGGUUUGUCCAUAGUAAACGCUUCAAAUUAUACUUGAAGAAGGCUGCUAUUUUGUAACUAAUGAUUUUUUUUAACCUGCAGAUAGAUAAGUGAUAUAACUUCUGAGGCUUUAAAAUAAGUUGGAUACUUUAAACAUAUCCAUAUCAUUUCUUUUUGAACAGAUAUAGGACUUUAUUUAAGUCCUGUAUGCUAUAGAGGAUUUUGUAUGACGUCCCUUUGCUGGGUUAAACUUCACUAAAGGAGCACCUUUUUUGUUGCAACAGUGGCUUGAGUGAAAUGGCCUGAGUGUGCUAUAAGAAGCUUAUAGCAAAACACCAAGUGCUCGGGACUGAGGAAUGGAAAUCAAGGCAGUAGUAGAGAUGAAGGUCAAAUAGCACCAUCUCAGAGUUAAUUUGCCACUGCCUUGCAACAGAAGUGACCAUGUACAAUGGCCUGCUAAACUUCUGCAUUGCUUUCACUCCAGGAGCAUAAAUGAUUGUCCCCCCAAAAGCAAGAAGCAUGCAAAGGCUAAUUUGUAUGACAGUGCCCGAUACAUAACUUAGAAGCUUGCCAAGGUUCAUCCAGUAGAGUGCCCUUACGAUAAUCAGGAAAUUGUUUGAGAAGGAAAAGUCUGUAUGUUUUAAUUGUUCAGCUUGCCAGAAGAUGAACCAAAUCUGGCAGACAAGCAGCAAUUCUUAAUCCACAAUGAGGACUGGGCAUGUGAAUGGCAUCAGCACCUUCAUUCAACACUUACACACUCAAAAGAACAUAUGAAAGGCCAAAUUAGGAUAAACUGAAGAGCCAUCUGCUCUGGUAGCCGUUCUCUGGCAGAGAUCACAGGAACUACUGAAAGCUCCUAGUCUGUGUCAUACAUCAAGAGGGACAGGCUUCUGCUGCAGGGAAAUCUGGAAGGCAGAAUUAUCUACUGCAUCCUGGGGUCCCUUCUAAGUUCUCAGUGAAAACAGUAUUUUUACAUUACAUGCACUGUCAGGAUCUCCAAGAGACUGAUUAUCUUCUAAAGCAGUUAAGCGCUAUAUGUACCACCAGUGCCACUGAAAUCAACAGAAAAUUUGUGGAACAAGGAGAUCAAGACCGAUCCCUACCAGAGAAGAAAUAGUUUAGAGCUCAACUGCUUCACAUUCAACAAACCUUCAGGCCCCUCCAUGGAAAGUUAUCAGCUGCAGGAUUCAGUCAAAACAAGGAACCAGAGGCUUGUGCUUUGUGAGAAAGCUUGAAGGACUUUCAGCGGGUGACACUUGACCAUUUACUCUGCAUUCCCUGUGCAGAAAAGGAGUACCAGAAGUGCUCAGAGACCAGAGCUAGAACUUGUGGGACACCAGGACAUGAACUGCACCAUGGAUGGUGCUUCCAGGUGAGAAGCACCUACAGCUACUGGGUAAAUUGUUAAAGCUGCAAAAAUUUUUUUUAAAAAAUAAUAAAAUCACACCUUAUCCAUAAGCAUUUUACUUCCUUGUUGCUGGAAAAAAGAGGUGUACUAAGGUCUCAAAGUAAUUGACAAGAGGUAAGAACAAAGUCAGAAAGCGAUCAUUUUAUUAGUGACAUCUUUUUUUUCUUUGCCUUUUAAUCUUGGCUGACAAGGUUGUUGAAAAAUGGUACUUUCGGGUAGGAUGUAAGUAGGCUGUAAGUAAUUCUUUCAGCUCACUUCUUUGUUGAAGGAGCAAAUCCACACAGUGAAAUCGUUGGAAAUGUAGUAAGUGUAAUGUAGUAAAGAUGAUCAGUUUGUUAUUAUUUUUUAAAGGGACAGGUUAAAGAAAGUUACUCCUCUUCCCUCACCACUGUUAAAUCAUCAGUGACGUGGCCUCUGUCUCCUCCCGUCUCAUUGCAGUAUAACAGUGGCUAAACUACUAGGGCUAUAGCAGAAUGGGAAAAAUUGAGAAUAUCCCAGAUCCUGAAGAAGACCAGAGACAAAAGAACACUGAAGAUUUGCACUCAGAUAAAAUGCCUGAAUGCCCUAAAAGUACCAUUCACAGGAAGAAAUGCAAACUGAUUGUUGAAUAAUGUCAGCAAGUUCCUAUGCCAAAACAAUAUAUGAAAUCACGUUACUCAUUCUGUAUAGGAAGAUAGUCCUCCUUUGUCCCUCCACUCCUAGACAGAUGCUAGUGGGAGCUGGCUGAAGUUCACAUCGUGUUACUUUGCUCUUCACAGUUGAGGCAACUAUUCUAAGUUAGUCAUCUAGAUUUCCUCUGCAGGCAGUGAAGGGGGAGCGGAACCUUUACUGCACAAUUUAUCCCAUUUUAAAUGUGUAUCUAGAAUGGGUCAGAGGAAUAACAGAGGCGAACAAUUAAUCACUUCCAGAUGGCCAAAGCUCAGAGAGAGAUGCCCUUAUGCGGUUCUCUUAACUGGAUGACUAAAUACAGGUUUUAGGCUUAAAUGUAGCAGUAUCUUAUAUGCUUUUUCAGCUUUGGUGUUUCUGCAUCCCUCAGAAUUAUGAAGUAUUUACUUAAUCCUGGAGGCAGGAAAUGUAACAGGAGGAUAGACAGUUUGAUCUGGUAUUUUCACUUUUGAUAUGGGAUGUGACUGGUAUUGGAUGGACUAUCGCAGCAGAAAAGAAGAGCUUAGUACAUAAAAUGGGCGGAAAGUUCUGCACGUUGUCAUAUGCACUCCCUUUAAAUCCCAGGCAAAUCACUGGAGACUGAUUUUUCUGCUAGGAAUUAGCCAUAAAACAUUCAGACAUGAGUAGUAAUUUCAAUGUAAUUGUCCCUUGAUUGCUGGUGUUCCAACCGUUUUUUGAUGCUGUUUUCCAGUGGUUCAGAAUGAGGAUAUUUGCAUUUUCUAUUUUAUUUGUUUUUAAAUAAAACUGAUUUGUUAAGUAUAACUGCAUUUAGAAAACUCAAACUUCAGAAAAAGCCAGAUUUAAGAUUGCCUUUGCCCAAUUUUGAAUUAUCAACAUAGAGAUUUUCAUAGGCUAUUGCUUUAUUUUUUUCACAGGCCAACUUUUUUAGUCUCAGCUGAAUCUGUGACUCUGCUGCAUUUUUGUAAAUAAAAACUUUGCUAUGACAAGAUAAGCACACAGAAAAUGAGGAACAUCUUUCCUCUCAAAAGUCUGGUUUAAGUGACUUGCUUUGAAUCAUAAGGUAGUCUUGUGACAGAUAAUGAUAUAAAAUACAAUUUCUAAGUUGGCAUUACAUUGCCUUAACUGUAGGAAUAAAGCCCAUUGAAAACCAGAUUGCUGUUUCAGUCUUGGUAUAAAACUGAAAUUAUAAACUUGCAUGAUGAAUUGCUGAGCGGCUGAGAACAAAAGAUUUCAACUACAUCAGAAGGAAAAAGUACUCUCUGAAUUUAUUAUCCAAAUCUUCCAUAAAGUUAACGACCUUACAAGAAGCAUUUUUUGUCAAAUAAACAAUUUUUGUGCAUAGCAAUUCUACCCAAUAAUUUUAACAAGUUCAGUCUUUUAGUGCUCUCAAGUCCCACAGUUAUUAAUUUUAUAGCUUCCAAUAUCUGAAAAAGUAAGAUGAAGGUCUUGAAUAUAAUAUGAUUAAGUUGACAUCCACAACUAUUUUCAGGGCAUCAACCAUCUUGUUCACUGCCUGAACAUAAAAAUGCAGGUUAGGCUAAUAUAAUUAAAGACUUUAUUAUAAUGCCUAUAGAAAAGAACCCUGAGUUAAGAUUAAACAGACAACUUUCUUUAUGGUAUUUCCCAAUUUUGAGUGUGCUUUUUCAGUAUUAGUAUCUUAAUGUAGUUUUUGUUUCCUGUGAAAAAGUAAAAUAAAUAACUGUUUAAAACUUC